AACAGCGAGAAUAAUGAAUUAUACGAUUUUCAUUAUUUCAAUUAUCGCUACAGUGGUUUUAACUGCUUCUAUAAACGAAGGUACUUCUGACGAUGUCCUGACUUCGACUCAAACCAAUCGAACUGAUAUUGGAUUCCACAGAGUGAAAAGAAGACUAUGCGAAAAUAUGAAAUGUGACGACCAUUGUAAACUUCUUUAUGGAACACAUGGGAAAUGUUUCAUUUUAUGUGUUUGUUAUUAUUAAUAUUUUUUUAAAUAAAAUAUGACUAUUAAUUAGCAUAAAAUUAA